UACGUAGGGUCCAAGCGUUAUCCGGAAUCACUGGGCGUAAAGCGUGCGUAGGCGGGUUGUUAAGUGCAAUGCGAAAUCCUGUGGCUCAACCAUAUGGACUGUAUUGCAUACUGGCAAUCUGGAGGACAUGAGAGGCAAGUGGAAUUACCGGUGUAGCAGUGAAAAUGCGUAGAUAUCGGUAGGAACACCAAUGGCGAAGGCAGCUUUGCUGGCAUGUUUUCUGACGCUAAAGGCACGAAAAGCGUGGGGUAGCGAACAGG
rnacentral:rRNA from 1 species